UUGAGCCGUAUGAAGCGAAAGUUUCACGUACGGUUCUUAGAAGAGGGGGAACGAGCAAUCGUUCCUCUUUAUUCAGCAACACUUGCUAAAUUAUUGCCCCCUUUACCCUAUUUUAAU
rnacentral:ncRNA from 1 species